UUAAUGUAAACGGCCGCCCUAGCGUGAGGGUGCUAAGGUAGCGAAAUUCCUUGCCUUUUGAUUGUAGGCCUGCAUGAAUGGUUUAACGAGGGUUUAGCUGUCUCUAAAUUUUUAAUUGAAAUUGUAUUGAAGGUGAAGAUACCUUCAUUUAAAAGUUAGACAAAAAGACCCCGUGCAACUUUGAAAAUUAACUUUAUUCAGGGGUAAAAGAUUUUUAGGUGGGGCGCCUAGAAAGUAAGCCUAACCUUUCUGAGUAAGAGUUUCUUUCAGGAGUUGACCCGAUUAUAUUCGAUCAUAGGAGAAGUUACGCCGGGGAUAACAGGCUAAUCCUUUAGUAGAGCUCGUAUUGGCUAAAGGGAUUGGCACCUCGAUGUUGAAUCAGGGAUGAUAGCUUCAAGGCGUAGAGGCUUUGAGAGUAGGUCUGUUCGACCUUUAAUACCCUACGUGAUCUGAGUUCA
rnacentral:rRNA from 1 species